UGGUGGUAUUAAUAUAUCAUAUAUGUUUCAGGACAGGGAGAGAGUAAGAGACUAACACUGACAACUGAUGCUGAAAAGCUUAGUGUGAAGAAACUUAUAGAAGAAGAAAUGAUCACUGACUAAGAUGAAAUAAAGGAUCAAGGUAACGUGGAAGUGGAAUCAAAGGAAUCCAGGUUUGUGAAUUAGAUGAGAUUNAAUGGGAAAGAUCUGCAUGAAGAUGGUCAAUUCCUUAGCUCACGUGAACUAAUGGAAUAACUCACUUUAUUUUUUUUAAUUCUA
rnacentral:lncRNA from 1 species